ensembl:misc_RNA Gm23553 predicted gene, 23553
GGGCAGUCUGAUUGAUACCAGCACUCCAUUGCUUCCAGGAUUGAUUGGCCAAUCGACCUGGGUAGGUGGAUGGUCCUUACUGUUCCUUGUUUGUUUCUCUGAAGUUGUGUGUUCAGUUGAAGAAGAUGACUUUUGCAGUAGAGCAGGACUCAUCUUUGGUGGAGAUUCUCUCAGUAGUUGUGUUCUCUUGCUGAACCUCCAAACCAGCUUUGAAUGAUGAGAAACCUCAGGUUUUAGGUCUCAGCUUUAUUCCUGAGAAUAGACAUGCCUCUGAGCAGAGCAGGCUGCGGUAUCU